rnacentral:rRNA from 1 species
GAUGAACGCUGGCGGCGUGCCUAAUACAUGCAGGUCGAGCGAACAGACGAGGAGCUUGCUCCUCUGACGUUAGCGGCGGACGGGUGAGUAACACGUGGAUAACCUACCUAUAAGACUGGGAUAACUUCGGGAAACCGGAGCUAAUACCGGAUAAUAUAUUGAGCCGCAUGGUUCAAUAGUGAAAGACGGUUUUGCUGUCACUUAUAGAUGGAUCCGCGCCGCAUUAGCUAGUUGGUAAGGUAACGGCUUACCAAGGCAACGAUGCGUAGCCGACCUGAGAGGGUGAUCGGCCACACUGGAACUGAGACACGGUCCAGACUCCUACGGGAGGCAGCAGUAGGGAAUCUUCCGCAAUGGGCGAAAGCUUGACGGAGCAACGCCGCGUGAGUGAUGAAGGUCUUCGGAUCGUAAAACUCUGUUAUUAGGGAAGAACAAAUGUGUAAGUAACUAUGCACGUCUUGACGGUACCUAAUCAGAAAGCCACGGCUAACUACGUG